GACGAACGCUGGCGGCGUGCUUAACACAUGCAAGUCGAACGGAAAGGCCCUGCUUAUGUGGGGUGCUCGAGUUGCGAACGGGUGAGUAACACGUGAGUUACCUGCCCUUGACUUUGGGAUAACUUCAGGAAACUGGGUCUAAUACCAGCUAGGAGCUCCUGCUGCAUGGUGGGGGUUGGAAAGUUUCGGCGGUUGGUGAUGUACUCGCGGCUUAUCAGCUUGUUGGUUGGGUAGUGGCUUACCAUGGCUUUGACGGGUAGCCGGCCUGCGAGGAUGACCGGCCAAGUUGGGACUGAGAUACGGCCCAGACUCCUACGGGAGGCAGCGGUGGGGAAUAUUGCACAAUGGGCGGAAGCAUGAUGCAGCAACGCCGCGUGCGGGAUGUCGGCCUUCGGGUUGUAUUCCGCUUUCGUCUGUGACGAAGCGUGAGUGACGGUAAUGGGUAAAGAAGCACCGGCUAACUACGUG
rnacentral:rRNA from 1 species